AAGCCAGGGCAGAGACACAACCACCUCUGCAGGAGAAACUGCUGCCAGCCAUGGCAUCCGCCUUGGCAGGAAAAUCCGUUCAUCCCUUCAUGACCCCACUGAGCUACAACUUCACUAAAAACCAUUA